UUGGGUCAGCGACUUAUNNUCCCAGCAAGUUAACCGAAUAGGGAGCCGAAGAAACCGAGUCUUAACUGGGCGUUAAGUUGCAGGUAUAGACCCGAAACCCGGUGAUCUAGCCAUGGGCAGGUUGAAGGUUGGGUAACACUAACUGGAGGACCGAACCGACUAAUGUUGAAAAAUUAGCGGAUGACUUGUGGCUGGGGGUGAAAGGCCAAUCAAACCGGGAGAUAGCUGGUUCUCCCCGAAAGCUAUUUAGGUAGCGCCUCGUGAAUUCAUCUCCGGGGUAGAGCACUGUUUCGGCAAGGGGUCAUCCCGACUUACCAACCCGAUGCAAACUGCGAAUACCGGAGAAUGUUAUCACGGGAGACACACGGCGGGUGCUAACGUCCGUCGUGAAGAGGAAACAACCCAGACCGCCAGCUAAGGUCCCAAAGUCAUGGUUAAGUGGGAAACGAUGUGGAAGGCCCAGACAGCCAGGAUGUUGGCUUAAAGCAGCCAUCAUUUAAAAGAAAGCGUAAUAGCUCACUGGUCGAGUCGGCCUGCGAAGAUGUAACGGGGCUAAACCACGCACCGAAGGCGGCAGCGACGCUUAUGCGUUGUUGGUAGGGAGCNGUUCUAAGCCNNGAGUGUGCUGUGAGGCAUGCUGGAGGUAUCAGAAGUGCGAAUGCUGACAUAAGUAACGAUAAAGCGGGUGAAAAGCCCGCUCGCCGGAAGACCAAGGGUUCCUGUCCAACGUUAAUCAGGGCAGGGUGAGUCGACCCCUAAGGCGAGNCGAAAGGCGUAGUCGAUGGGAAACAGGUUAUUCCUGUACUUGGUGUUACUGCGAAGGGGACGGAGAAGGCUAUGUUGGCCGGGCGACGGUUGUCCCGGUUUAAGCGUGUAGGCUGGUUUCCAGGCAAAUCCGGAAAAUCAAGGCUGAGGCGUGAUGACGAGGCACUACGGUGCUGAAGCAACAAAUGCCCUGCUUCAGGAAAAGCCUCUGCAUCAGGUAACAUCAAAUCGUACCCCAAACCGACACAGGUGGUCAGGUAGAGAAUACCAAGGCGCUUGAGAGAACUCGGGUGAAGGAACUAGGCAAAAUGGUGCCGUAACUUCGGGAGAAGGCACGCUGAUAUGUAGGUGAGGUCCCUCGCGGAUGGAGCUGAAAUCAGUCGAAGAUACCAGCUGGCUGCAACUGUUUAUUAAAACACAGCACUGUGCAAACACGAAAGUGGACGUAUACGGUGUGACGCCUGCCCGGUGCCGGAAGGUUAAUUGAUGGGGUUAGCGCAAGCGAAGCUCUUGAUCGAAGCCCCAGUAAACGGCGGCCGUAACUAUAACGGUCCUANGCGAAAUUCCUUGUCGGGUAAGUUCCGACCUGCACGAAUGGCGUAAUGGCCAGGNUGUCUCCACCC
rnacentral:rRNA from 1 species